rnacentral:misc_RNA from 1 species
AGUUCGAUAUGGCUCAGAUUGAACUGGCGGGAUGCUUUACAUGCAAGUCGAACGGCAGCACGGACUUCGGUCUGGUGGCGAGUGGCAGGCGGGUGAGUAAUGUAUCGGAACGUGCCUAGUGGCGAGGGGACUCUUCGCGAAAGCGUAGCUAAUACCGCAUACCCUUCGGGGGAAAGCGGGGACCUUCGGGCCUCGCACUAUUAGAGCGGCCGAUAUCGGAUUAGCUAGUUGGUGGGGUAACGGCUCGCAAGGCGACGAUCCGUAGCUGGUUUGAGAGGACGACCUGACCACACUGGGACUGAGACACGGCCCAGACUCCUACGGGAGGCAGCGAGUGGGGAAUUUUGGACAAUGGGAAACCCUGAUUAGCCAUCCCGCGUGUGCGAUGAGGCCUUCGGGUUGUAAAGCACUUUUGGCAGGAAAGAAACGGCACGGGAUAAUACCCCGUGCAACUGACGGUACCUGCAGAAUAAGCACCGGCUAACUACGUGCCAGCAGCCCCGCCAUUAAUACGUAGGGUGCAAGCGUUAAUCGGAAUUACUGGGCGUAAAGCGUGCGCAGGCGGUUCGGAAGAAGAUGUAAUCCCAGAGCUUAGCUUUGGAACUGCAUUUUUAACUACCGAGCUAGAGUGUGUCAGAGGGAGGUGGAAUUCCCGCGUGUAGCAGUGAAAUGCGUAGAUAUGCGGAGGAACACCGAUGGCGAAGGCAGCCUCCUGGGAUAACACUGACGCUCA